CACGUAGGCUGAUUUGUAAGUUAGGGGUGAAAUCCCGGGGCUCAACCUCGGAACUGCCUUUGAUACUGCAAGUCUAGAGUCCGAGAGAGGUGAGUGGAAUUCCUAGUGUAGAGGUGAAAUUCGUAGAUAUUAGGAAGAACACCAGUGGCGAAGGCGGCUCACUGGCUCGGUACUGACGCUGAGGUGCGAAAGCGUGGGGAGCAAACA
rnacentral:rRNA from 1 species